UUCCCUAUACUAGAGAAUACGCCCGGCGAAAGUCGGAUUUAAUGCUCUAUGUUCUUCUUUGAUGGCAUCUGACGAGAAGCAAAGGUUUACCGGUAUAGGAUGGGGAUGCGUCUGAUUAGGUUGUUGGCGGGUAACGGCCCACCAAGCCUACGAUCAGUAGGGGUUCUGAGAGGAAGGUCCCCCACAUUGGUACUGAGACACGGACCAAACUCCUACGGGAGGCAGCAGUGAGGAAUAUUGGUCAAUGGGCGAGAGCCUGAACCAGCCAAGUAGCGUGCCAGGAUGACUGCCCUAUGGGUUGUAAACUGUCUUUUAUGCGGGAAUAAAGUCAGGUACGUGUACCUGUUUGUAUGUACCGCAUGAAUAAGGACCGGCUAAUUCCGUGCCAGCCGCCGC
rnacentral:rRNA from 1 species